UGUUCAAGAGCAUAGCUCAGUUGGUAGAGCAUGAGACUCUUAAUCUCAUGGAUGUGUGUUCGAGCCCCAUGUUGGGCAA